AGAGCGAACGCUGGCGGCAGGCCUAAAACAUGCAAGUCGAACGAGCCCUUCGGGGCUAGUGGCGGACGGGUGAGUAACACGUGGGAACGUGCCUUUUGGUUCGGAACAACUCAGGGAAACUUGAGCUAAUACCGAAUGUGCCCUUCGGGGGAAAGAUUUAUCGCCAUUAGAGCGGCCCGCGUCUGAUUAGCUAGUUGGUAGGGUAAAGGCCUACCAAGGCUUCGAUCAGUAGCUGGUCUGAGAGGAUGAUCAGCCACACUGGGACUGAGACACGGCCCAGACUCCUACGGGAGGCAGCAGUUAGGAAUCUUGCGCAAUGGGCAAAGCCUGACGCAGCCAUGCCGCGUGAAUGAUGAAGGUCUUAGGAUUGUAAAAUUCUUUCAGCGGGGACGAUAAUGACGGUACCCGCAGAAGAAGCUCCGGCUAACUUCGUGCCAGCAGCCGC
rnacentral:rRNA from 1 species